rnacentral:rRNA from 1 species
UACGUAGGGGGCAAGCGUUGUCCGGAUUUAUUAGGCGUAAAGCGCUCGCAGGUGGUUCGAUGCGUCGUGCGUGAAAGCCCCCGGCUCAACUGGGGAGUGUCGUGCGAUACGGUCGAACUGGAGGCCAGUAGGGGGAUGCGGAAUUCCGGGUGUAGUGGUGGAAUGCGUAGAGAUCCGGAGGAACACCAGCGGCGAAGGCGGCAUCCUGGACUGGUCCUGACACUCAUGAGCGAAAGCGUGGGGAGCGAUCCGG